AUUGAACGCUGGCGGCAGGCCUAACACAUGCAAGUCGAGCGGAUGAAGGGAGCUUGCUCCUGGAUUCAGCGGCGGACGGGUGAGUAAUGCCUAGGAAUCUGCCUGGUAGUGGGGGAUAACGUCCGGAAACGGGCGCUAAUACCGCAUACGUCCUGAGUGAGAAAGUGGGGGAUCUUCGGACCUCACGCUAUCAGAUGAGCCUAGGUCGGAUUAGCUAGUUGGUGGGGUAAAGGCCUACCAAGGCGACGAUCCGUAACUGGUCUGAGAGGAUGAUCAGUCACACUGGAACUGAGACACGGCCCAGACUCCUACGGGAGGCAGCAGUGGGGAAUAUUGGACAAUGGGCGAAAGCCUGAUCCAGCCAUGCCGCGUGUGUGAAGAAGGUCUUCGGAUUGUAAAGCACUUUAAGUUGGGAGGAAGGGAAGUAAGUUAAUACCUUGCUGUUUUGACGUUACCAACAGAAUAAGCACCGGCUAACUUCGUG
rnacentral:rRNA from 1 species